CAUUUUCAUUAUCAGAAUCUUCCUCCUUACGCCUUUCCUUAUUACUACUCCUAUCAUGUCCCUCAUCUCGAUGCCUACGACUACGACGCCUCUCCUUGUCCUCAUCAACUUCCUGCUUAGCUGCUACAUUCUCAUAAUCAGAAUCUUCAUCUUUCCGCCUUUCCUUACUCCUAUCAUGUCCCUCAUCUCGAUGCCUACGACUACUACGCCUCUCCUUAUCCUCAUCAACUUCCUGCUUGGCUGCUACAUUCUCAUAAUCAGAAUCUUCCUCCUUCCGCCUUUCCUUAUUACUACUCCUAUCAUGUCCCUCAUCUCUCUGCCUACGACUACUACGCCUCUCCUUAUCCUCAUCCACGGCUCCCCCUUUCUCCUUCUCCUUUUCCCUUUCUUUGUCAACUACAUCUCUACUACCUCUUUCUCUAUCUCUGUGCUUCUCUCUCUUCUCUUUAUCCUUGUCGCUUCUCCUCUCCUUCUCCUUCUCUCGUGAAGGCUCAUUAUCUCUGUCUCGUUCCUUGUCUUUUCCGCGAUCUCUACGAUCCUUAUCCUUUGUUCUAUCCCUUUCACGUUCAUAUUUAUCCUCCUUUCUUCGAUCUCGAGAUUUCUCC
rnacentral:lncRNA from 1 species